rnacentral:rRNA from 1 species
UACGUAGGGGGCAAGCGUUGUCCGGAUUUAUUGGGCGUAAAGAGCGUGUAGGCGGCCAGACAGGUCCGUUGUGAAACUCGAGGCUCAACCUCGAGACGCCGAUGGAAACCGUCUGGCUAGAGUCCGGAAGAGGAGAGUGGAAUUCCGUGGUGUAGCGGUGAAAUGCGUAGAUAUCAGGAGGAACACCGGUGGUGUAGACGGCUUCUGGACCGACACUGACGCUGAGACACGAAAGCGUGGGUAGCAAACAGG